CUGCUUGCUUGGCAGUACAUAUACUAAAAUUAGACCGAUACAGAGAAGAUUAGCAUGGCCCCUGCACAAGGAUGACACGCAAAUUCGUGAAGUGUUCCAUAUAUUU